GGAUUGGCCAGCGAUGAGAGAAAAGGAUUGGCCCCCACUCCCCAUUGCCCGAUUCCUCUCCCUCUCCCUCUUGUUGCCGCUGCCGCCACCGGCGACCUCCCUGCAGCCGCCGCCAUCAGCCACGCCCUCCCCAACGGCUGACUCUCCCACCCCUUUUCUCCUCAACAUCGGCGACCUCUCCUCCCCCUCGCACCAGAUCGAGCAGCAUGUCGGGCAGGGCAGAGCGGAGCGGGGAUGGGAGGAGACGGGCAGACGGCGGCGGAGCGGGGAUGGGAGGAGAUGGGCAGACGGCGGCGGAGCGGGGAUGGGAGGAGAUGGGCAGACGGCGGCGGCGGCGUCCUCCUCGCCCAUCGGCGCGCGACACCUGUCAGAGCCCCGUCGGCUCCGUCGAUCUGCCAGACCUAGGUCGCCGGCGUGGCUGCUGUCUCAGGCGAGAAGAGUGGUCGCGUUAAGACGCGGGAAGGGGGAGCAGCCAACCAUGCUCAAGGCCGUCCGUGGCGGCUGCAAAUCGAGGCUGCGGCUACAAAUUGAAGGUCAGUGCGCGGCGGCCCUCUCUCCUUCUCAUCCCCUCUCGCUCGAGCGAAAGUUGCGGACAUAGUGGCGGUGGCCCGUCCGUGGCGUCGUCCUCAGCCAGAGAAGGGGAGAGGAGGGCGAGAUGAAGAGAGGAGGUGGAGGGAGAUGGUGAGUCCAUGGAGAAGCACCACCGGGAGCAGAUCCGGCCAUCCGCGGCAAGAAGGCCACGCCCCCCUCUACCUCCGUGUCGUCACCCAGGUUCAGGCAUAGCAUACUGAUGCAAUUGAGGUGCAUCCGCUGGUGCCGAACAAACAGCAUAAAAGCCAUCUUCAGCACCAAACCAUCUAUGCAUCGUGACUGAAUGAACUGGUGCACUCUACUAUGGCUGGAAGUAGGCAAGGUGGACUAAUCGCAGGAGCUUCGGCUGCAAUGAUGUUUGCUAGAUUGAAUGGUUACUUGGAAAGUACUGGCCAAAUCAUGGAAAUCUCGAAGAAGAUACUAAAAGAGUAAAAAAACUGUUUGAUUAUCGUGCUUGAAAGGUUUCUAAAAAGUACACACCGAUCUGUAUGAGGACUGACGCUAGCAGGGGUUUGCCAUUUUUCCUGAGCAUUUUCCAAAUAAAAAUGUUUAUACAAGUAAUAUGUGUCCUUCUCGUAAAUGUGCUGCAACUGGAUCCUUACAAUUCUCUGUUUUUUCAGUUGUACUAAUAGUAGUUGUUUGUGCAAAAUGAAGGCCUUUGUGAUGCGGGUUGAGGAGGAAAACGACUCGGAAGAGGAAGAUCAUAGAUUACGAGCUAUACAAGACUAAUCCAUGGGUUUGCUCCUACUCCCCUCUUCCACCAGAUUUUGCCUAGUGAAUCAUGUAAUGGAGGACCAGUGCUUCAUCGAGUCCAUCCCGCCCCUUGGCACUGCCGUUGGCGUCUUCAACAACCUCGCUAGGUACGAUGUAGCAUGCUUCGACGUAUAAAGUAAUUUGUGCCAUCAUCUUUGCCAUCUAUUUAUGUUUAGGACUGUGACAUGUUACUACUAACUGAUUAUGCAUGUUGUUAGUAUAUGAUCUGUACAAGAUCAACGCCUAAAAGGGUGCCUGCAUCGGAGUUGAGUUGGAUACCUGAAGCUCGAGGAUUAGGGUGCCGACACAACGUCGCCAGCCGCAGGCAGGAGCUCAGCCCCACAUCCUUGCUCAAGUGCUUCCGAGCGAGAAAGACUGCGAGGAGUUGGACGUGCAAUGGCCUAGCGGAGUCGUCCGCGCCGCGACGCCGCCGGUAUGGAGGCCCAGGCUCGGGUUUAACUCAGCAAGCUUUAGUGCUUAUUUGUUAAUAAUCCUGGGUUCUGACCACGUCAGUAGCGUCCCCUCGUCGUCGACGGCGGCUCAGGGAAAUCGAGGAAGGAGGCGAGUCCGUCCCACGGCGUCGCUGUCGGGGAGCACUAAGGGAGCUCCCUGUCUUGGUUUGCAGCAAGUAUGUUCAGCACGCCGCCUCCAGCCACAAGCAUCGCCGUGAGGAGGACAAAUCAAUCUCAUUCCCCCCUUCUUCGCGACGCAGAUAGAUCACACUUAUUCAACAAGUAUGUCCGAUUUGUUGUUCACAAAUUAAACAUUAAGGCAAUUAGGAUCUGGAUCUUUGAGAUGUUUAGCUUUACAUGUUCAUUAGGGAUUUGUUGUUGCUGAAAGGGAGCAAAAUAGAGGGAAUAUCUUUUUCCAAAAAAAGUUUACAUACUGAGCUGUACGCCUGUACUUUAGAAUGUAAUCUUAGUGUUAACUGCAUCAUACCAUUACUAAAAAGAUUUGGAAUUUAUCUUGUAUGUGAUUGGUUUGUAGGGCUGUAGGCUGGUGAGGUCUGGUUAUAGCACAAUGCUUCAGACUAAUAUCAAAGGAAUAAAUUGAUCAAUAAGUUUCAGCCAUGAAAGGGUGCGGACACUGCCAAAGACGAUCAGUGCCUGGUUAAUUAGGACAUGGCGUGUAGGCCAAAGAAGCUAGGAGGCCUCAGGAUUCUUAACUUAUGUCAUACGAGCACAGCUGUGAAGGUUUGUUGGCUAUCGCUACAGCGCACUGACAUGACAAGGUCAUGGAGAAUCCUUCCUCUAGUUGCUGGUGCAGAUGUUGCUAUCUUACUCGCUGGAACCAAUGUCCUAAUUGAGUAAUUGGGGAUGGUAAUUUCACGCGGUUUUGGCAGGACGCCUGGAUCAACGGUUUUUCAGUUGCUGAGAUCACACCAGACCUUCUCUCUGAUCCCCCUUUAUCGAUCCAGCAGAAAGGAACAGUGGCUGGGGCUUUGACCCUUGGUACAAGGCCCUAACCUCCGUUGCCAAGUUUAUGCCAGUUCUGAACGUGCUGGGGGUACUCAAAGGGUUGACAUCGAUCUUCAAGUAUCAGUACCUGGUCGUGGAGCCGGGAUUCAUCUGGAAAAUACACAUCCAGAACUGUCUAUAAAGCCUUUUUUUUUGGUGGCCAUCGAGUCUCAGUAUGCCUGAGUCAUCCGGAAAGCCUGGGCAUCCCUUAGUUGCAAUAUAUUUAUGUGGCUUCCUAUCUGAAAGAGAUGCUGGACUGCAGACCCCCUUGGGAAGCAUGGGUUACAGCACAACGAGACCCGUGUGUUCUGUCAGACUACGAGCAGAGACCUGGGCCAUUUACUCAUCAGGUGCGGCAUCUUCAACAUGAUUUGGACCAGGGUACUGCAAUGGUAUGAUACUUCAGCCAAUGGUUGGAGCUCAUUUUGAAGAAUGGUGAAUGGCAUCCAGAGGCAGGCUGCAAACAUGACCGAAGAAGCAGAUUUGAUAGCCUGGUAAAGCUGAUCGCCAGAAAUACGUUGAAGAGAAGGAAUGGAAGAGUCUUCGAACAGGAGUAUCACAGCUUUACAGCAGGUCUAGGACGACAUCAGAUCAAAUACAGAUCAUGAAUCACAGUUGGUGCAAAGUGAAAUAUCAAGGAAGACAUACACAAUUAGGGUCGUUUUUUGGGGUCACUAGCUACAGGUUUUUGCCCGCUUCUGUGUUGUAGUUGUUGUAUCACUUUUUGGGGUUUCUUUUUCCCUGUUGCAUUUCUGCUGGUGGUCAUACCUUCUAGGCAUUAUAAAACUCUUUUCCCUAAUUUAUACAUGCAGCUCUCCUACAUGGUCUUGAAAAAAGAAAUGAUUUCUCCA